rnacentral:rRNA from 1 species
AACGAACGCUGGCGGCAUGCCUAACACAUGCAAGUCGAACGAGACCUUCGGGUCUAGUGGCGCACGGGUGCGUAACGCGUGGGAACCUGCCCUUAGGUUCGGAAUAACUCCCCGAAAGGGGUGCUAAUACCGGAUAAUGUCUUGGGACCAAAGAUUUAUCGCCUUUGGAUGGGCCCGCGUUGGAUUAGCUAGUUGGUAGGGUAAAAGCCUACCAAGGCGACGAUCCAUAGCUGGUCUGAGAGGAUGAUCAGCCACACUGGGACUGAGACACGGCCCAGACUCCUACGGGAGGCAGCAGUGGGGAAUAUUGGACAAUGGGCGAAAGCCUGAUCCAGCAAUGCCGCGUGAGUGAUGAAGGCCUUAGGGUUGUAAAGCUCUUUUACCCGGGAUGAUAAUGACAGUACCGGGAGAAUAAGCGCCGGCUAACUCCGUG